rnacentral:rRNA from 1 species
AGUGAACGCUGGCGGUAGGCCUAACACAUGCAAGUCGAACGGCAGCACAGUAAGAGCUUGCUCUUACGGGUGGCGAGUGGCGGACGGGUGCGGAAUACAUCGGAAUCUACUUUUUCGUGGGGGAUAACGUAGGGAAACUUACGCUAAUACCGCAUACGACCUACGGGUGAAAGCAGGGGAUCUUCGGACCUUGCGCGACUGAAUGAGCCGAUGUCGGAUUAGCUAGUUGGCGGGGUAAAGGCCCACCAAGGCGACGAUCCGUAGCUGGUCUGAGAGGAUGAGCAGCCACACUGGAACUGAGACACGGUCCAGACUCCUACGGGAGGCAGCAGUGGGGAAUAUUGGACAAUGGGCGCAAGCCUGAUCCAGCCAUACCGCGUGGGUGAAGAAGGCCUUCGGGUUGUAAAGCCCUUUUGUUGGGAAAGAAAAGCAGCAGGUUAAUACCCCGCUGUUCUGACGGUACCCAAAGAAUAAGCACCGGCUAACUUCGUG